UCAAUUAUUCCCUUAAGAGAAAACUUGUCUUUAAUGUAAAUUAAGGAUAAUCUUAAAUAAUUAAAUAGGAUUUAAGGUUAAAACUGCAGCAAAUUGAAACAUCUUAGUAGCUCAGUACAAAAAUCAAAAGAGAAAUUGAAAGUAAUGGAGAAUGAAAUCAAUUUAGUUUAUAAUAAUAUAUAAACCUUAAAUAAAAUGAAAUUAAAAGUUUAAAAUAGAGUAAAUUUAAGACUCGUAAUUAAUUUAAGACUUAUAUUAAUUAAAUUAAAACGUAAAAAAUUAUGUUUUUUUGUAGAAUUAACUACAGAACUAUUGACUCUAAAUAAUUAAUAGUGAAAAGUACCGUGAGGGACCGUUAGCGUUCUUGGGCGUAUUCUAAUUUAAUAGCUUAUAAACAACUUUUUAUAAAAAGGUUUACCUUUUGCAUUAUGGUUCGGUCAGUUAAAUUGUAUAGCAAGCUUAAAAAUUAAAUAUUUAAAAAGCGAAAAUAAUUAAAUUUAGAAGUUAUAAAAUUUAAACACGAAACCAACGUGAUCUAUUCAGAUUCAGAUCGAAUAUUUAGUAACAAUAAAUUAGAGGAUCUAACCGGUGUUUGUUGCAAAAAACUCGGGUGAAAUUUGAAUUGGAGUGAAAGGCUAAUCAAACUUGGCGAUAGCUUGUUUUCUGCGAAAUUCUUCUUAGAGAAGCGCUUAAAAUCAAAAUUUUAGGGUAAAGCACUGGUAGAAUUGAGGUUGUUUAUUUAGCAUUACAAAAUUCGUCCAAACUCUGAAUAUAAAAUUAUGUUUUAAGUAGUUAGAUUAUAGGCUAGAAAGUUUAUAAUCAAAAGAGAAACAACUCUAAUUGGUUUUUAAGGCUUUAAAAUAAACUUUAAAAAUAAGAAACUUUUUUAUUGAAACAUUAUUGUUGUAGGCUUAGAAACAGCCACCAUUUUUUGAGGACGUAACAGUCCCUAUGCACAAGUAAAAAAUUGUCUAAAAUAAAAAGAAGUUAAAGUUUUGCCGAAAAACCAAAAUAAAUAUAUUAGUUUAUUGGUAGCAGAACGUCUUGUUUAUUUAUUUUUUUGUGAAAAAAACUCAUAAUAAAUCAAGAUUGAUAAUGCCGAAAUGAGUAACAAAAAAGGUUAUAAAACCUUUCACCUUUUAUUUUAGGUUUUCUUCGUUAUAUUAUAUUUCGUUGAGUUAUUCGAACUCUUAUUUUUAGGUGAAAACUUUAAAAAGAUGAGUAAUUAUAAGUUUAAUCAGCUAAACUAUUAACUAGUUUUGAGAAACAAGAAUUAUAAACUAUUUUAUUUAUACUGGUUUACUUAAAAACUGUGAAUAGUUCUUCUGGAAAAUCUCAAAUGUUAAGGCUUAUAAAAAAUCGUACUUAAACCAAACAAGGUAAAUUUGUUUAUCAAAAUAAUGGUGAAAAAAUUAAAAAAAAAUAUGGAACUCGGCAAAUUUACCCCGUACCUUAGGAAUAAGGGGGAGCAAUUUCUAUUAGUUAAUUGCUGUAAAAAGAAAAAAUCUGCGACUGGUUAUUAAAACCACACGACUAUGAUAAACUAAUAAUAAAUAUAUGGUCGGACUGGUGCUAAAUGCCUGUACAUUGAACACAAAAUAGCAUUUGCUCUUUGAUAAUAUCAGGUCAAUAGCGGUCUUACUCUGAGGAUCGUAAUGUAGCGAAAUUCCUUGUCUAAUAAAUAUAGUCCCGCAUGAAUCCAGCAACGACAGAUUUACUGUCAUAUCUUUUUGUUUUGUGAAAUUGAAAUAGAAGUGCAGAUUCUUCUUUGUAGCACCAAGACGAAAAGACCCUUUUAACCUUUACUAUAAGCAAUUAUUGCUAAAACCUUAACGUAUUGUUCAGAAUAAACAACAGCUUAUGAUAUUUUUGUUUACAAAAAUAGAAGCAAAUGUGAGAUAUUGUUCUUUACUGGGUUGAGGCUAAUUUUUCGAAAGACAGUAAUUGCCUGUUAGUUUCUUUGGGGCGAAGUUCUUUUAAAAAGUAACAAAGAAGCGCAAAAGGUAAAUUCAGAUGAAAAAUUUUAUUUUAGAGUGUAAAAGCAAAUAUUUACUUAACUGUAAGACUGAUAAGUUAAGCAGAAAUGCAAGUUGGCUUUAAUGAACCAAUUUUUCUGAUUGAAAAGGAAAUUGUUCAUCAGAUAAAAGGUACUAUAGGGAUAACAGAAUAAUAAAAACCAAGCGAUCAAAGCGACGUUUUUGUUUGUGACCUCGAUGUCGACUUAUGGGAUCCUCAGUGUGAAGAAGCUCUGAAGGGUUUGACUGUUCGUCAAUAAAAGCCGUACAUGAGUUGGGUUUAAAACGAUGUGAAUCAGUUUUGUUUCUAUCUGGUGUUGCUUGAUAAAACAAAGAGUUUUCUUAUUUAGUAUGAGAAGAAUAAUAAGAGUAAGCCAAUUGUUACUGGCCAUUUUCUAACAAUGUUCAGAUAGCGACGCUUUAAAAAAUAAAAAAUGAAAGCAUCUAUUUAAGUUUCAAGUUUUACUCAAAACAGGUUUUAUUUCUUAUAAAAAAUGAAUCUUAAUAAAGUAGUCUAAUAUUAAGACUUAAAUCGGCAACAAGUUUAUUGUUGUAAUUUUAUUUGCUUAGUUGUAC
rnacentral:rRNA from 1 species